AAAUAAUCGGCAAUUAUUCAGUAGCCGGUUAUUUAAAAAAAUAUGAAAACACACACAGGGGUCUGUGGAGGAAGGAGGCAGCAAUGCCUCAAAAUUAUGGCAUUUAUCAUUAAGGACCCCCAUAACCCAGGACAUCCUCUCUUCUCAUUGCUACCAUCAGGAAGGAGGAACACUCAAUGAAUCCACAGCAGAGUAAUAACCAUAAUGGAAUCAAUGAAAGACUGCACCAACUUGGCCAUUCAACCAGCGUGCAAAAGACCAUGUAAAUACAAUAUGAAAGAAAUAAUAAUAAUAAUAAAUAAAUAAGCAAUAAAUAUUGAGAAUAUGAGAUGAAGAGUCCUUGAAAGUGAGUCCAUAGGUUGUGGGAGCAUUUCCGUGAUGGGGUGAGUGAAGUUAUCCCCUUUGGUUCAACAGCCUGAUGGUUGAGGAGUAAUAACUGUUCCUGAACCUGGCGGUGUGAGACCUGAGGGUCCCAUACCUCCUUCCUGAUGGCGGCAGUGAGAAGGGAGCAUGUCCUCGGUGCUGGAUGUCCCUGACGAUGGAUGAUAACACUGGAACAGAAAUGAAAUCGUCCGCCAGCUUAAAUGGCUUCAAAUACAAAGUCAAGGUGGAGUUCAUUGUCAUCUGCAGUUACUUGUGUGCAUGGGUGCAAUGAAAAACUUGCUUGCAGCAACAUCACAGGCAGAUAGCAUCAGAUAAGCAGCAUUCACAAAAAAUAUAAAUUAGACACAAUUUAGAUGAUACACAAUUGUUAGAAGGAAGAAGGCAAUUAGAGCAAUAAUAAUCCAAGACCAUUGCAGU